UAUUAUGUAUAUUCUUACAGAUAAAUAAUGUAAACAAGUAUGGUAUUAGUACAAAGUCUUAUGAAAAUAUAGAAAGAAAAUUCAUGUUAGAUUUGAAACGUCACGUUUGAAAAGUCUUGGGUGAUACAUUCCUGAUUCCCUUUAGCAAAAUUAACUAUAGCCUGUGUUUAUUAACAAAGAAACAAACAUUGAUAAUUAAUGUUACUUUUGUAGGGUUCCUACACUAUGAGUGAGUACCUUUCAAGGCACUUCUAAACAGCUCUUAACAGGUUGACCUUGUUUUUAACGUAAUUAAUUAUAAAAAUUCAUACAUUCUUAGCUAUAGAUGAACUUAAUUCGAGUUCUAAUCAAAUAAAAAGAAAUCCAGUGUUUUGAGGGCCCCUUGGCAAAGGUUCGAUUCCGGGGUGAAAUGGCGGGUACUGUGAAAUUUCACUGUUAGGGCAACAAAUAAAAUUGGUUACUCCUAGUACUUACUACCUUGUCGAUACAGACUGGGCCCCUUAUAUGAAGUAUAAAUAACAUAGUAUGACGUCACUGUAAAAACAAAAGAAAGUAUAUCGUAUAACAGGGAUUUUACCUGCAGAUAAUUGAUGAUUAAAUAUGAUCGAUUAAUUGUAUUGCACAUUACAAGUAGGACAUCAUUGAUUAGAUAUCAUUUAACUGUCUAUCAAAUUUACAUAUAAAUAGGAUACAUGUGAGCGAGUAAACUUAUUCUAUUAAAAGUGUUUAGACAAAACUAAAUUAACUCAAUAUUAAACAUGAAGGUUUUAGCCGUUGCUCUAUUUUUGGCCCUCGUGUGCAUCACACUGGCUUCACCUACAGCUGAAGAUUUAGACAAUCCACAACUGUCUGUAGAAGGCAUGGAAUCAAUGGAGAUGUUAAAUGGCGCUCGUCAACGCAUCUGCACCGCUGCGUUGUGUCAAUCUGUGUGCAGAAGUCUGGGAUGGCGGACGGGCAGCUGCAACGCCCAACUAUUGUGCAUCUGUCGACGUUAACCGUUGUUAUUCUUAAUUUAACUUUAGUUUACUGCAAAUUUUAAGGUAUCAAUAAAUAAUUAGGCCUA